GCGGGAGUGGCUCAGUGGUAGAGCAUCUCCUUGCCAAGGAGAAAGUCGCGGGUUCGAUCCCCGUCUCCCGCUCCA
rnacentral:tRNA from 9 species